rnacentral:rRNA from 1 species
AUGGGCGACAGCGGUUGUGGCACGCAGUGGCAGUCCUCGUCGGCCAUCGUGGCGCGAGCUGCGCAAGUGUAUGGCUCGCACAUUUUGAAGAUUGAUGGGUACUCCCGAACCAAGGGGCUGGGCACCGGCAAAUGCAUCACGUCUGAGAUCUUCCAGAUCGGGGGCCAUCGCUGGUGUAUGAAGUACUACCCGGAUGGCUACACAGGCUACAAUAACUCAAUAUCCAUCAGUCUAUGUCUUGAUCAGGCUGAGGUCAAUGAAGUUCGAGCACGAUACAAGAUUAGUUUGCUUGAUCAGGAUGGGAACCAAGCAUGUUACACUUUCUCCAAAGAACAUGGCCCACAGGUUUGCUAUAAUCUCAUCAGUAGGAAGGACUUAGAGGAGUCGGUCUACCUCAAAGAUGAUAUUUUCAGCGUCAGGUGUGAUAUCACUAUUCCAAAGGAGAUCUUCACAUAG